CUACCCCGGGGCCGCGCUGCCAGACCCCUGCCCCAGCCAGAACCGCUCCCUGCUUGGAGGAAGCUGGGUAGGGGCCGGGGUCUAGCGAGCCCUGGCCUGGCUUAGCCUCCAGCCCCGGAGGGCGAGGGUUGCACGAGGGGUGUGUCUGAGUGUGAGUCGCUUUCGGAAAAAGGCUGUGGCCGUUCUACGCUCUUUUCUUCUAGCCUUCUCCCAGCACGCAGACCCAGAGGGAAAGACUGCUUCUGGCCGACCCCAAUCCCGAUCUUCUCCCUCAGUUCCAGUUUCUUCCAUGGAGAUGAGGCUGAGCUGAGCGGAUGCGGCAUGCAGCUGUGGGAGCCAGGCUCUGAGAAGCAUCUCACUUGAGGCCAAAGCCAUGGCCAAAGAGAUUUAGGAGAGAUUUCACAGAGCCUGAGCAUUGAAUGAGCACCACUCAGGGGCUCACAGCUAAGUGACAGAGGUGGCUAUAUCCAAUGUUAACUUAUUGCGGGAUCUUAACUGUAACAUCACUGGACCACCUCCCAGCUCCUGCAUCCUCUGUCAUCCCAAGAAACCAUGGUCUGACUUCCCAAAGCACCCACACAAAGUCAUUUACAUUUUUAUUGAAAAUAAAAUCUUUAA